rnacentral:rRNA from 1 species
AGAGACCUCAAGCGUUAUCCGGAUUCAUUGGGCGUAAAGCGUCCGCAGGUUGUUAUAUAAGUUAGUGGUUAAAUCCUUCGGCUUAACCGAAGAACUGCCACUAAAACUGCAUGACUAGAGGCUGGGAGAGGCAAACGGAACUGCAGGUGUAGUAGUAAAAUGCGUUGAUAUCUGCAGGAACACCAAAGGCGAAGGCAGUUUGCUGGAACAGUCCUGACACUCAUGGACGAAAGCGUGGGUAGCGAAAGGGAUUAGAUACCCCUGUAGUCCACGCCGUAAACGAUGUGCACUAGGUAUUGCGAGUAUCGACCCUCGCAGUGCCGUUCAAAAAACUAACGCGUUAAGUGCACC